ACCGCGAUAGCUCAGCUGGUAGAGUAUCUGCCCGGGAUGCAGAGGGUCGCGGAUUCGAUUUCGGCUCGCGGCG
rnacentral:tRNA from 1 species